GAUGAACGCUGGCGGCGUGCCUAAUACAUGCAAGUCGAGCGAACGGGCGAGAAGCUUGCGGCGCGGAUGUUAGCGGCAGACGGGUGAGUAACGCGUGUAUAACCUACCUAUAAUAGUGAGAUAACUUCGGGAAACCGGAGCUAAUACCGUAGGAUAUUUUGAACCGCAGGGUUCAAAAGUGAAAUACGGUCUUGGUGUCACGUAUAGAGGCAUAUGGGCUGCAUUAGCUGGUUGGUAAGGUAACGGGUUACCAAGGCAAGGAGGCAUAGCCGAACUGAGGGGGUGAUAGGCCACAUGGGAACGGAGCCACGGACAAGACGACUACGGGAGGCAGCAGUAGGGAACCGGCCGCAAUGGGGGAAAGCCUGACGGAGUAACGGCGCGCGAGUGAUGACGGUCUCCGGAUCGUAAAACUCUGUUAUUAGGGAAGAACAUAUGUGUAAGUAACUGUGCACAUCUUGACGGUAACUAAUCAGAAAGCCACGGCUAACUACGUG
rnacentral:rRNA from 1 species